ACGCUCGACACCUACUGGAGGCAGCAGUGAGGAAUAUUGGUCAAUGGGCGCUAGCCUGAACCAGCCAAGUAGCGUGAAGGAUGAAGGCUCUAUGGGUCGUAAACUUCUUUUAUAUAAGAAUAAAGUGCAGUAUGUAUACUGUUUUGUAUGUAUUAUAUGAAUAAGGAUCGGCUAACUCCGUGCCAGCAGCCGCGGUAAUCUGAGCGGGCUGGCAAGGC
rnacentral:rRNA from 1 species